rnacentral:rRNA from 1 species
CUACGGGUUGCAGCAGUGAGGAAUAUUGCACAAUGGGGGGAACCCUGAUGCAGCAACGCCGCGUGGAGGAUGACGCAUUUCGGUGUGUAAACUCCUUUUAUAUGUCAAGAAAAUGACGGUAGCAUAUGAAUAAGCACCGGCUAACUCCGUGCCAGCAGCCGCGGUAAUACGGAGGGUGCAAGCGUUACUCGGAAUCACUGGGCGUAAAGGACGUGUAGGCGGGUUGGAAAGUCAGGUGUGAAAUCCUACAGCUUAACUGUAGAACUGCACUUGAAACUUCUAAUCUAGAGUAUGGGAGGGGGAGAUGGAAUUAGUGGUGUAGGGGUAAAAUCCGUAGAUAUCACUAGGAAUACCUAAAGCGAAGGCGAUCUCCUGGAACAUUACUGACGCUAAGGCGUGAAAGCGUGGGGAGCAAACAGGAUUGAUACCCGUGUAGUC